rnacentral:rRNA from 1 species
GUUAGGAAUAUUGGGCAAUGGAGGAAACUCUGACCCAGCAACGCCGCGUGAAGGAUGAAGGUUUUCGGAUUGUAAACUUCUGUUCUAUGGGAAAAAACAAAUGAUGGUACCAUAGGAGAAAGCCACGGCUAACUACGUGCCAGCAGCCGCGGUAAUACGUAGGUGGCAAGCGUUGUUCGGAAUGACUGGGCGUAAAGGGAGCGUAGGUUGUUUUUUAAGUUGAAUGUGAAAGCCCGGGGCUUAACUCCGGAAUGCCAUUUAAUACUGGAAGACUAGAGUGCAGGAGGGGUGAGCGGAAUUCCUAGUGUAGCGGUGGAAUGCGUAGAUAUUAGGAAGAACACCAGAGGCGAAGGCGGCUCACUGGACUGUUACUGACACUGAGGCUCGAAAGCGUGGGGAGCAAACAGGAUUAGAAACCCUUGUAGUCC